GGGGGGAGGCCGGAUCCUGGGCUGUGCUGUUGGAUUUGUGCUCCCGGCCGCGCAGCCCCCU
rnacentral:pre_miRNA from 1 species